rnacentral:lncRNA from 1 species
AUGAUUUUGAUGAUAUUAAUGUGAUAUUAAUUUUAAGUGCCUGAGUUUUUAAAUUACGACCAGCAAAAAGUUAGGUUACACAAUUUUUGCUAGAUUUUUGCUGUGAUAUUAAUUUUAAGUGCCUGAAUUUUUAAAUUACGACCAGCUGUUUAGGUGCCUCACAAUUUUUCAAAUGGACCUGCCUCUUAAUCGACCACUUGCCAUCAAUGUUUUCAGGGUGGUUUUUCUGAUAUCCUCGAUUCGACUCUCAAGAGGACGUCAUAAGGGCGAUUUCACAAAAUUGAACACCCUGUAUGAGGAGAAGAAAUUGGAACCGGGGGACAUCCUCGCCAGUGACAUCAACAAUAACCUCCAUCUCAUCGGCCACGACGAGGUGUUCAAAAUGCCGGACAGGGUAAACCUUUUCAGGUAUGACGUCAUCUGGUACUCUUUUAGGCUCCCUUUGAAUACCGCGCAGAACGAGAGACUCAAUGUAAGGAAAAUCGGUAGAGCCAAGGAUCCUGCUAGAAGCAUAGCGCUAGUAAAACCACUCGUAAACUACUACGUGCCGUACCACUUUUUGCGCUGCACAAAGGAGAUGUACUGGAACUACAUCUUCUGGGAAAAACAGCCCCAGUUUUGGGUCCCAAGACGAGUAAUGCGGUCGUGCCCUCUGGCGGAGCCUUUGCACAAAUGGAGCACUCAAAAUAUCGAGGCCGGGAUCUUCAAGUUUAAGGACUAUAUGGGUCGUGAGCUCAGUCUUUGUGCUCUUUCUUCGAACCGAACCAGAUGCUGUUGCGUUGGCAAAUUUUGUUGGAUUUGUGGGGGGGACGAUUGACCCUGUAAGAAACGACCUGGAGGGUCUGUCUCUUCUAUGAGCAAAAGCAAUUAUCGCUCGUUUUCAUCUGUCUCCGAGAGCGGUGCAGUGGCGAGGCGUAAAUGAUCGAUUAUCGAUAUUUCUCCAUUUGAGCUAUGGUAAAGAAUCGAUCACUAAGGUGUUCGCUGCGAACACCCUGAUAAUCGAUCUUUUCUCAUAGGUUUAAGUGGCGUAUCAAUCGAUGUAUCGCAAAGCACGCCACGCCACUUCAGCGAUGUAACUUACCGAUCGAUUUCAUCUGCCGCGAUGAAUGAAGGGAAAUCUCCACUGUCGUUUCCGCCCUGGCUAGAAAUAUUUCCAUACGCUAGAGUACUUAUGAAAAGAUAAUUUUUGUCGGAUGAAAAAAUGAAAAUGUUCAUUAAGCUUCGAGUUUGAAAUAUUGUGUGACUCCAUAAAUAUACAAGGGACUCGGUUAGCAAUAUACUGCGAAAUCGUCAGAGCACGGAUACAUACGAUAGGCAAAAAGCCCGGCGCGAAAUUCACGCUUACUCAGUUGCUAUUUUGACCACCUGUUACUCUGAGUGCAUGGAUCCGGCGCGAAUUUUGCGCUCUGACAGGAGUGAAAAUCUGAUAUUCAAAUGUAAAAUGGAACUGCCGCAGCAUGGAUUUGAACCCUAGUCGCGGCGGUAAUAGACGAGUGUGUUACCACUUUGCCAUUUGUGACGCUCACAUAAGAUACCUCUUAAUUCACGCUACUUCAGGGAGCUCAAGUAAUUCGUCCGUCGUUGGUGAUAUUCACGCUUUGAUCUAUUCACUCAGAGUGCGGCGCGAAAUUCGCGCUGGAUUUUUUUUCACGCCGGCUAUUCACUCAGAGUAAAUCAGUGAUUUUUAACAGUGCAGCGGUUGAGGAGGUUCUAUACCGUCCACAGGAAAACCGCCGUAAAUCCUGUCAAAACUCAACAUUUCUCUUGCACGCAUCCUGUUCUAUUACGAGGAAACCUGAUCACCGUGAUGACUCAUUUUGUAAAUUUGAAUUCUCAGUGGUAAGCCGCACUCAUUUUGAAAUUAUAAGGAUGAAUGGACGUUGGUUUUUCGGUAAUAAAACAUUACGUCACUAAGAAGCUGAAAAAAUCCUGAAUGGAGUUACGGCGUUAUUGCUGAGGACGGCCGUGGUGUACAUAUACGUAGUGGUGUUAAUAAAUUAGGAUUUCACUAUUAUUCUUCGAUGUAGUGAUCAAUAAUUUUACAUGUGCAGGCUGAACGUAAAAAAUUAUUUCAGCUUCCGUCUCUCUGUAGGGCGCUAAUUGCACUCCACCGUUUUCCAUUCACCAUUUCAAGGUCACAAAACUGACUCAAACAACACAAUUCUUGUUAGGACGACCGAGUGAUCUGUGUCUAAUAUGUUCCCAAUUUUUGCAUGGAACUCGAAUACAUUUCCAGUCAGAAAUGCCAAAAUGUUCCCCUGAAAAUAACAAAUGACGAGGAAAAGUUUGCAACGUUCACGCUCUGCCGUCUCGGUAACGACGAUUUUUCCCAUUGACCCUCCGCCAAAUCACCGGGGGCCCUCGAGAACUUGAGGAGUCCUCAAAUAAUUUACAGUUUCCCUUAGUACAGCAUUCCGUGACUUACUCGAUUACAAUUGAUGAUUAUUAAUAUUUAGAGUAAAGAAUGUUGCCUAUUAUUAAUAGGAAACAUUAUUAAC